rnacentral:misc_RNA from 1 species
GAUGAAGAACGCAGCGAACUGCGAUAAGUAAUGUGAAUUGCAGAAUUCAGUGAAUCAUCGAGUCUUUGAACGCACAUUGCGCCCCCUGGCAUUCCGGGGGGCAUGCCUGUCCGAGCGUCAUUGCUGCCCUUCAAGCCCGGCUUGUGUGUUGGGUCGUCGUCCCCCCCGGGGGACGGGCCCGAAAGGCAGCGGCGGCACCGCGUCCGGUCCUCGAGCGUAUGGGGCUUUGUCACCCGCUCGAUUAGGGCCGGCCGGGCGCCAGCCGGCGUCUCCAACCUUCUAUUUUACCAGGUUGACCUCGGAUCAGGUAGGGAUACCCGCUGAACUUAAGCAUACAAUAAGCGGAGA